rnacentral:vault_RNA from 1 species
AGGUCAACUUUAGCACAAACAGCUACUUCCUCAUGUUGAACUUUCCAUUUGUCUAAUUCCUGCACUGGGAUCUGAGACCAGUGAGUCCUUUUUGACUCCUUA